GUUGAUUUGUAACAUAAUAUAUGGUCUAUUUUGGAGAAGGAUCCAUGUGCUGCUGACAAUAAAGUGUAUUCAAUCAUUAAUGGAUGAAAUACUCUAUAUAUGUCUGUGAAGUCUAAAUUAUUGAUUGUAUUAUUUAAUUCCAUAGUUUCUUUGUUUAGUUUUUGUUUGCAGGAUCUAUUCAGUUCUAAAAUAGGUAUGUGAAAGCCACCCAGUAUUAUUGUGCUGUGGUCUAUUUGAUUCUUGACAUCAAGAGGGGUUUGUUUGAUGUAGGUAGAUGCUCCAUUGUAUGGGGCAUAAAUAUUUAUAAUUGUUAUGUCUUGUUGAUGUGUAAUUCCCUU
rnacentral:lncRNA from 1 species